rnacentral:misc_RNA from 1 species
GCCAUUAGCUGUCAGAAAGAUGUUAUAGGGCUUGCUACGAAGUGUAAGGAUUUUGUUGAAAAAGAAGGACCUAUAGUUAAACCAUCGAAGGAUUGUUGUGCAGUGGUGAAGAAAGCCAACGUGCCAUGUGCUUGCUCACUUGUUACCAAGCAAAUCGAAGAUUUAAUCAGCAUGGAGAAGGUCUUCUAUGUGGCUAAAACAUGCGGCAAGAAAGUUUCUCCUGGAACUAAAUGUGGAAGUUACACUGUUCCAGGGGCAUGAAGAUAGAUAUUAGAAACAUUAUCAAAAGGGCAUUUGGAUGUAUUUUUAAGACUUUGAAUUGUG